rnacentral:rRNA from 1 species
UACGAAGGGGGCUAGCGUUGCUCGGAAUCACUGGGCGUAAAGGGUGCGUAGGCGGGUCUUUAAGUCAGGGUGAAAUCCUGGAGCUCAACUCCAGAACUGCCUUUGAUACUGAGGAUCUUGAGUUCGGAGAGGUGAGUGGAACUGCGAGUGUAGAGGUGAAAUUCGUAGAUAUUCGCAAGAACACCAGUGGCGAAGGCGGCUCACUGGCCCGAUACUGACGCUGAGGCACGAAAGCGUGGGGAAACGAA